rnacentral:rRNA from 1 species
AUUGAACGCUGGCGGCAGGCCUAACACAUGCAAGUCGAACGGUAACAGGAAGCAGCUUGCUGCUUCGCUGACGAGUGGCGGACGGGUGAGUAAUGUCUGGGAAACUGCCUGAUGAAGGGGAAUAACUACUGGAAACGGUAGCAAAUACCGCAUAACGUCGCAAGACCAAAGAGGGGAACCUUAGGGCCUCUUGCCAUCGGAUGUUCCCAGAUGGGAUUAGCUAGUAGGUGGGGUAACGGCUCACCGAGGCGACGAUCCCUAGCUGGUCUGAGAGGAUGACCAGCCACACUGGAACUGAGACACGGUCCAGACUCCUACGGGAGGCAGCAGUGGGGAAUAUUGCACAAUGGGCGCAAGCCUGAUGCAGCCAUGCCGCGUGUAUGAAGAAGGCCUUCGGGUUGUAAAGUACUUUCAGCGGGGAGGAAGGGAGUAAAGUUAAUACCUUUGCUCAUUGACGUUACCCGCAGAAGAAGCACCGGCUAACUCCGUG